rfam:Gossypium hirsutum cultivar TM-1 chromosome 18, whole genome shotgun sequence
AAUUAAAAAUUUCAUCAUUUAUAUUAUUAAAAGUUAAUGUGCAUGACAGAAUAACUAAACAGUGAUAUAUGGCAUGCAUUGUGUACUUCAUGCUGACGUACUGGAACUAAUUUUUAAUAGUAGAAAUAGAUGAAUUUUUUAACA